AAACCUCCACAGGCUGGCUGUCCCCGCUGGGCUGGGCGAGAAUCUCUUCCAAAGUCUUACUCUCAAACACAACUAGGAGC
rnacentral:pre_miRNA from 1 species